rnacentral:rRNA from 1 species
AGCCGCCGCGGUAACACCGGCGGCCCGAGUGGUGAUCGUGAUUAUUGGGUCUAAGGGUCCGUAGCCGGUUGGUCAGUCCUCCGGGAAAUCUGAUAGCUCAACUAUUAGGCUUUCGGGGGAUACUGCCAGACUUGGAACCGGGAGAGGUAAGAGGUACUACAGGGGUAGGAGUGAAAUCUUGUAAUCCCUGUGGGACCACCUGUGGCGAAGGCGUCUUACCAGAACGGGUUCGACGGUGAGGGACGAAAGCUGGGGGCACGAACCGGAUUAGAUACCCGGGUAGUCCCAGCCGUAAACGAUGCUCGCUAGGUGUCAGGCAUGGCGCGACCGUGUCUGGUGCCGCAGGGAAGCCGUGAAGCGAGCCACCUGGGAAGUACGGCCGCAAGGCUGAAACUUAAAGGAAUUGGCGGGGGAGCACAACAACGGGUGGAGCCUGCGGUUUAAUUGGAUUCAACGCCGGAGAUCUCACCAGCGGCGACAGCAGUAUGAUGACCAGGUUGAUGACUUUGUUUGACAAGCUGAGUAGAGGUGCAUGG